AAAAGAGGUUUUAACUCUGCUCAGGACGAACGCUGGCGGCGUGCCUAAUACAUGCAAAGUCGAACGCUUCUUUCCUCCCGAGUGCUUGCACUCAAUUGGAAAGAGGAGUGGCGGACGGGUGAGUAACACGUGGGUAACCUACCCAUCAGAGGGGGAUAACACUUGGAAACAGGUGCUAAUACCGCAUAACAGUUUAUGCCGCAUGGCAUAAGAGUGAAAGGCGCUUUCGGGUGUCGCUGAUGGAUGGACCCGCGGUGCAUUAGCUAGUUGGUGAGGUAACGGCUCACCAAGGCCACGAUGCAUAGCCGACCUGAGAGGGUGAUCGGCCACACUGGGACUGAGACACGGCCCAGACUCCUACGGGAGGCAGCAGUAGGGAAUCUUCGGCAAUGGACGAAAGUCUGACCGAGCAACGCCGCGUGAGUGAAGAAGGUUUUCGGAUCGUAAAACUCUGUUGUUAGAGAAGAACAAGGACGUUAGUAACUGAACGUCCCCUGACGGUAUCUAACCAGAAAGCCACGGCUAACUACGUGCCAGCAGCCGCGGUAAUACGUAGGUGGCAAGCGUUGUCCGGAUUUAUUGGGCGUAAAGCGAGCGCAGGCGGUUUCUUAAGUCUGAUGUGAAAGCCCCCGGCUCAACCGGGGAGGGUCAUUGGAAACUGGGAGACUUGAGUGCAGAAGAGGAGAGUGGAAUUCCAUGUGUAGCGGUGAAAUGCGUAGAUAUAUGGAGGAACACCAGUGGCGAAGGCGGCUCUCUGGUCUGUAACUGACGCUGAGGCUCGAAAGCGUGGGGAGCAAACAGGAUUAGAUACCCUGGUAGUCCACGCCGUAAACGAUGAGUGCUAAGUGUUGGAGGGUUUCCGCCCUACAGUGCUGCAGCAAACGCAUUAAGCACUCCGUCCUGGAGACGCG
rnacentral:rRNA from 1 species